AUUGCAACGCGAUACCGGGGCGGCCCCAGACCAGGCAGCGGGAUGCAACACAGCACCAGACAGCCCAGUGCAAUAGGGAGCUGAGGAAGGCAGCGCAGCGCAACCCAGCCCAGCUCCUGACGGCCUGGAGCUUGACACUCCCCUUCCCUAGAUCAGGACAUGCUUUUGGAGGCCAGCAUCCAUCCCAGCCUGCCUGGACGCCACUGUCUCACACCACUGUGUCAGCUUUUCACCACCUCCCCUUCUUUCCGGAAAGGCUUCUUUUUCACGGGGCAUGCCCACAUCUGCAAACCCUUCCGCUCCUUGCUGCGGCGUGAACAGGAAGGGCAGUGGGAGAGCUCAUGACAAGGAAACCGUGGGAAAAAAUAUCAUUAUCAUGUGGAGGUCCACACCAUCCAGACGUCAUGUUUAGGGCCAAAUAUCAGGGAGCCAGAGAGUAGGACGCCAUGGAGUACAGCUGCAAAAUGGAAAAGCUGGAGGCAAGUGGGACCCCAAGCCUCACAGCACGCUGUGGAGAACACGGGGGCUCUCUGGGACCUGGUGUUGCCCCAUAUAGUGGUGGUGCACCAUCCACAUCACUGGAGCCAGGCUGCUCCCCUGCUGCCUGCCUCAACACCUCAUGCUGUCCUUUGGCAUCAUUUUUACCAAAUUCAUUGCUAAGGAAGCAUCGAAAUUAAUUUGUCAAGACCAGCAGAAACCAUGCAACGUGCACCGGCGUUCAUCUUUAAAGCUGUUGCUAAAUGAUGUCCAAAAACAUGAUGUGUAAAGGCAUUAUGGGUAAAUACAAUUGAAUAUCCCAGUUUC